CUCAACUGUUCCAGCUUAGCUCGGACCUGAUCUUCGUCAGCGUUCACACUAUAGAAAUAAAAGCAGAUUUUCUUUGUUAGGUGAGAAACAGCCAAUGGAAAGAAGCCAGGGAUUGAGGUGAAGGUUGUGAAGAACAGAGUCAGUGAUGUGUGAAUUCCUCUCUGAGUCUUUACUUGGCCUUGCGGAAACCUGGCCGCGUCAGGAGAUGCCAAUUAUGUCAAGUCCACUGAAUCUGGAGCCAGGGACACCUAUGACUAUUGGCUGCGUGAACUUGUCGAAGACAUGCCCCAGACCGCUGCCUGUUUGCUCAUCUGGAAACAGAAAUGGCUCAUUUUAUGACUAUUGGUUUGGGUGGAUCCUUGGGAAAAUCAUUAGUGUAUUGUUUUUUAAUUUCUUCCUGUCAACAUGAGAAAAAGGGAAAUAUAAAGUGAAACAUGACAACUGAUUAAAAUCUUCAUGGGAAACUGAAACUUAAGUAAUCAGUAUGACUCAUCAAGUUAUUUCUAAGAACUAUUCCAGGAGAUAGCUGUAAAUCAGAAUUCCUUGCCCUUGGUACCAUUGGCAUUUGGGUUGGAUAAUUCUGUUGUAGGAACCUAUUCCAUGUAUUGUAGUAUAUUCACCCAGCAUCACUGUGUAUAUCCACUUGAUAUCAACAGCACUCUUUGACAGUCAAAAGUGUCUUUCUGCCUGGCCGGCAUGGCUCAGUGGUUGAGUGUCAACCUAUGAACCAGGAGGUCAUGAUUCCAUUCCUGGUCAGGGUAUAUGCCCCGGUUGCAGACUCAAUACUCACUCUCAUCAUUGAUGUUU